GUGAGGAAUAUUGGACAAUGGGCGCAAGCCUGAUCCAGCCAUGCCGCGUGCAGGAAGACGCAUCUAUGGUGUGUAAACUGCUUUUGUACGGGAAGAAACACUCCCUCGUGAGGGAGCUUGACGGUACCGUAAGAAUAAGGAUCGGCUAACUCCGUGACAGCAGCCGCGGUAAUACGGAGGAUCCAAGCGUUAUCCGGAAUCAUUGUGUUUAAAGGGUCCGUAGGCGGUUUAAUAAGUCAGUGGUGAAAGCCCAUCGCUCAACGAUGGAACGGCCAUUGAUACUGUUAGACUUGAAUUACAAGGAAGUAACUAGAAUAUGUAGUGUAGCGGUGAAAUGCUUAGAUAUUACAUGGAAUACCAAUUGCGAAGGCAGGUUACUACUUGUGGAUUGACGCUGAUGGACGAAAGCGUGGGGAGCGAACAGGAUUAGAUACCCUUGUAGUCC
rnacentral:rRNA from 1 species